rnacentral:rRNA from 1 species
UACGUAGGGGGCUAGCGUUAUCCGGAAUUACUGGGCGUAAAGGGUGCGUAGGUGGUUUCUUAAGUCAGAGGUGAAAGGCUACGGCUCAACCGUAGUAAGCCUUUGAAACUGAGAAACUUGAGUGCAGGAGAGGAGAGUAGAAUUCCUAGUGUAGCGGUGAAAUGCGUAGAUAUUAGGAGGAAUACCCGUUGCGAAGGCGGCUCUCUGGACUGUAACUGACACUGAGGCACGAAAGCGUGGGGAGCAAACAGG